rnacentral:lncRNA from 1 species
CUGCAAGAAUAUGGGUCGGAUAGGCCUAAUAUGGUGGAUGUGUUGUGGGACUUGAAAUAUGCUCUACAGCUUCAAAAUUCUGCAAUAUUGCCACAAGAAUUUCAUGAAGAUAGCACUACAGAUGUUUCGUGGCAAUUGGCAUUGCCCGGUAUUCAUCGCUUACCUUCUAUAGAUGUAAGCAUAAGUAUUGCCAGUGCCAGUGAGAGCGAGGUUUUUUCGUAAUUGGUGAUCGAUGAAGCUAGAUGAUAUUUGGCCUUAGCAUAUAUGUCAGUUCACUUCAUUAUGUUGUAAGUCUGUCUUCUUCUGUUUCCUUUUGGUUAAGGCAAUUCCAUAUAUCAUGUGCCAAAACCUUGUUGCAACAGUAGUAAUAGUCAGGGUUCCUUUACUAUAUUGGAUAACAGGCAAAUGCCUCAAUCAAUAUCUGUAUUAAUAGUCUAUGACAUAUUGUUCUGCUUAUAAGAAAUGUGGUGCUAUAUAGGUAUGUUUGGCACGAAGGAAAAUAUUUUUCGAAAAUCAUUUUCUUGAACAAACUCUCUCUAAAAUUUAGAACCAUCUAAAAAAGAGUCAAUACCGUAAAAUUCUCCUAAUUUCCUACUUAAAUUAUUCGGUGUUCCUAAAACCCCACUGAACUAUAUUGCCCUUCAUGUUAAAAGUCCAUCAUUGUAUUCUUAGAGGUGCGUCUACUACACGCUCUUAAUUAUCGACAAACGUAUCAUGUAGCACUACACGUUGCUAUUUAACUCAGCCUCUAAACCGCCUAAACUAUCACUUUUUGUAAGUUACCUCCUUAAACUAUCUGGUGUCCCCAAAUUCCCUUGAACUAUAUUUCCUAUAUAUUAAAAUCCCAUGUUGGUGUCUGUCUAACUAUAUUAACUCAUGGUAUGUACGAAUCUUUUAUAUAGUUUAGUCAUGAUGCAUUAAUCUCGGAUGAUUGAUUAAUUUUAGGAGUUUUGGCCCAAACAAUAUCUAAUGUACUUGUUAAUUUUAGGUUUGAUUGUUAUUGUGCUUUAUGCUAAACUCCAAUUGAAUAAGUUCUUAUUAAUAUUCACUAUGUAGUACAGUAAAAAUAUAUAUAUAAAGGCGUAUAGCAUUACAUUUCUUAAAAAUCAUCUUAUAUUACAUAUAAAAGAUUACACACACAAAAAUUUAGCAAAUAAAAAAUCAAUUAGCCAACAAUACAUUCUCUAAUUCCAUAUUACAUAAAGAAGGUUCAAGAGAUUCAACUUUGUUCUUUACAAGUUGUUGAGUUUAAUAAGAAGAUUUAAAUUGGUAUUCUUUAACAAUAUGUGUAAGACAUGAAAUUAUUUCAGAGGAAACAUAAGAGUGAGAAAUUUUUCCAAAGUAUACCCAUAUGGAGAACUGAAGAAAAAAGGUUUAAAAAUAAAGAAGACGGUGAAAAAUAAAUAAGAAAGGUAAAGAAAUAAGGAAGAAUGGUGAAAAAAUAAGGAAGAAAAGUGGAUAUAACUGUCACACAUCCUUUUUCACUACACCCGAAAGGGGACAAAGGAGUUUUUUCAAUUGAAGGACGAUCGAAAUGGGAUUUAUUAAGAUUCAGAGUCGUCACUUGGGAGAUUAAUGGUGUCCCAAGUAACCGGUUGAAUCCCGAAUCGAGGAAAAUAUGACUCUAUUAAUAGUCCGCGAACCAGAAAUCCAAGUAAGAAAUUCUGUUAACCCGGGAGAAGAUGUUAGGCAUUUUCGGGUUCCAUGGUUCUAGCACGGUCGCUCAACAGUUAUAUCUAGCUUAUUUAUCUGAUUUUAAAACAUGUUUUAACGUAUGUGCUUUUUAACUUUAAACCACUUUUAUUAUUAUUAUUGUUGUUUCUUUAGAGGAUUGCAACAUCGUAAAAAUAUGUUUCGAACCACGUCACAUAAAUGCACCAGUGGUUUUUGACACAUUUAGACUUUGUUGGGAUUUGAAUUUGGAUCACGUAAAUGUGCACCCAAGUUUAAGAAGGUAAUAUUAUUAAAUGAUGGGCCUAAAGCGACUAGCGUAUUAUUAACUUUGCGGGAGGCCAUGGAAUUUGCUUAAUGGCACGUCCUGACGUCUAAAAUAUUUUUAAUUUGAUUCAGAGGGCCACGCAAUGUAUGAUUUCUAUUAAGCACGGCGCAGCUUAUUUUAUUUUAAAGGGCAUCCUCAAGUAACUAUGAUUAUGUAUUUAAAUUUGUCUUUAGAAAGGGCCUAAUUAAUUACUUAGUGGCCCAAACCUAUGAUUCAAAAUUUAGUUAUCUAAAUUCAAGAAUUAUAAGCAGAAGAAGUCGAGGUUCAGCAGAUGACAUGAAGCAGGCCCAGCGCAGAGGGCAUGACUUUCAAUUUUUUAUGUUCUUCCAAACAAGCCCAUGAUUUUAUUUAUGCCAUAAUUAGACAAUUUGGUCCUAUAAAUUAUUUUUCUCAUGGCCUGGAUAAUCCAGGCAUUUAUAGAUACAACCAGAUGAAUUUGACAAAGCACGCUAAUAUCAAGAAUUAUUGUGUAGUACAUGAAACAUGGAAUUAAACCCCACGUAUAGUUUAGAUUUUAAAUAUCGAUCCUUGAGCCUAUUAUCCUUGAAGUUAACAUGGAUGCAGAUAUGUACUAGCCUCAAAGUUGAUUUCAAAUUCUGCAGUGUAUUUUUAAAAGAUCACCAAUGACCCCGAUGUGAGAUGAAAGUUGAAACAAACCUUAGAACUAACUCACACUAAAGUUAAACAUUAUUGAACGAAUUGACAUUAUUGGUAGACUAAUUCUAUAACUAUAACAGCCUAGCAAUCUGAUUAAUUGCAAAUGUCGAUGAUCAGCGUAGAUACAACCAUAAUAAUUAGUCUGAACUUAAAAACUGCACUAAACACAUUGAAUAUCACUUGAAAUGCGUCUCUCUGAUUCUAAAAAUAAAACUAAUAGCUCAAUUAGGCACAAGUCAUACUACUAAUACUACUGGCAGAAUAGUUAUGCGAAUAUGAAAUUUCAACAGUCCAUUAAUUACAAAUAAGCACAAUACAACAUGAAACAAUUGAAAUCUACAGUAAAACUAGGUGUCAACUUAUUUCAUUGCUUCAACUUAAGGUCUACAUCAAAUUUAAUCCAGAAAAUAUACCUGGAGAUUAAGUGCAAUUCGAAGAAGGAGAAUCAGUAACAAAUAGCGAAACAACAGCUCGAAUUCAAGUGUACAGUAAGCAAACAACGCCAGAAUCAGUCCGAAAUUAGAAUAUGAAAACACAGAACCAAUAAUCCACCAAAACACACUUGAAAAACCCAAAAUGAUUCGAAAUUAAUCCCAGUAAAACUUCUGAACUUCAGCAGCUAGAAAUGACCCAAAAUAGCCUGAACAAAACCGAAAAUGACCUUGAAAUUGAAUGUGGACAGUAGGAACUCGAAUUAACUGUUUAAACUUACAAUUAUUGUAAGAAAAUCGAUGUAAGUACCCUUUUUUGAUUUUUUCUGUUGUUUUGUUUGUUUUGGUUUGUUUUAAGAACUAGAUCUAGAAUUUGGAUUUUUAAAUUCAAAUUUCAAAUCUAUGAAACUUGAAGAAUGUUUUGGGGGGAUUUUUAGAGCUAAAAACUUGUUCCCUGGAGCAAUAGUCAUGCCCUUUUAUAGGCAAAAUGA